GAAAUGCGAUAACUAGUGUGAAUUGCAGAAUUCCGUGAAUCAUCGAGUCUUUGAACGCACAUUGCGCCCCCUGGUAUUCCGGGGGGCAUGCCUGUCCGAGCGUCAUUGCUGCCCAUCAAGCACGGCUUGUGUGUUGGGUCGUCGUCCCCUCUCCGGGGGGGACGGGCCCCAGAGGCAGCGGCGGCACCGCGUCCGAUCCUCGAGCGUAUGGGGUUUUGUCACCCGCUCUGUAGGCCCGGCCGGCGCUUGCCGAACGCAAAUCAAUCUUUUUCCAGGUUGACCUCGGAUCAGGUAGGGAUACCCGCUGAACUUAAGC
rnacentral:misc_RNA from 1 species